AACGAACGCUGGCGGCAUGCCUAACACACGCAAGUCGAACGGGAUCCAGGCUUCGGCCUGGUGAGAGUGGCGGACGGGUGAGUAACGCGUGGGAACCUGCCCAAUGGUCUGGGAUAACCGCGGGAAACUGCGGCUAAUACCGGAUGAGCCCGAGAGGGGAAAGAUUUAUCGCCGAUGGAGGGGCCCGCGUCAGAUUAGGUAGUUGGUGGGGUAAUGGCCUACCAAGCCUACGAUCUGUAGCNGGUCUGAGAGGAUGAUCAGCCACACUGGACUGAGGCACGGCCCAGACUCCUACGGGAGGCAGCAGUGGGGAAUAUUGGACAAUGGGCGGAAGCCUGACGCAGCGACGCCGCGUGGGGAUGAC
rnacentral:rRNA from 1 species